AUUGAACGCUGGCGGCAUGCCUUACACAUGCAAGUCGAACGGUAACAGGUCUUUGGAUGCUGACGAGUGGCGAACGGGUGAGUAAUACAUCGGAACGUGCCUAGUAGUGGGGGAUAACUACUCGAAAGAGUGGCUAAUACCGCAUGAGAUCUACGGAUGAAAGCAGGGGAUCGCAAGACCUUGUGCUACUAGAGCGGCCGAUGGCAGAUUAGGUAGUUGGUGGGAUAAAAGCUUACCAAGCCGACGAUCUGUAGCUGGUCUGAGAGGACGAUCAGCCACACUGGGACUGCGACACGGCCCAGACUCCUAGGGGAGGCAGCAGUGGGGAAUUUUGGACAAUGGGCGCAAGCCUGAUCCAGCAAUGCCGCGUGCAGGAUGAAGGCCUUCGGGUUGUAAACUGCUUUUGUACGGAACGAAAAGCCCCGGGUUAAUACCCUGGGGUCAUGACGGUACCGUAAGAAUAAGCACCGGCUAACUACGUGCCAGCCGCCGCCGUAA
rnacentral:rRNA from 1 species